GAUGAACGCUGGCGGCGUGCUUAACACAUGCAAGUCGAACGGUAACGCCCAGCUUGCUGGGUGGGAUAGUGGCGAAGGGGUGAGUAACACGUGAGUAAACCCCCCUGAAGGCUGGGAUACGCCUGGAACACUGGGACUAAUACCGGAGAGGAGAGGCCACCGCAGGGUGGGCGUUGGACAGAUUUAUCGGUUUUGGCUUGACGCGCGGCCUAUCAGCUUGUUGGUGUGGGAGUGGUACACGCAGGCCAAGGCGGGGAGCCGGCCUUGGAGUGUGACCGGCCACACUGGGCCUGCGACACGGCGCAGACGGCUAUGUUAGGCAGCAGGGGGGAACAUUGCCCAACGGUCGCAAGCCUGAUGCAGCGACGUCGCGGGUGGGAUGACGGUCUUCGGGUUGUAAACCUCUUUCAGUAGAGAAGAAGCGCUAGUGACGGUACCUGCAGAAGAAGCACCGGCUAACUACGUG
rnacentral:rRNA from 1 species